GACGAACGCUGGCGGCGUGCUUAACACAUGCAAGUCGAACGGAAAGGCCCCUUUCGGGGGGUAUUCGAGUGGCGAACGGGUGAGUAACACGUGAGUAACCCGCCCUUGACUUUGGGAUAACUUUUGGAAACUGGGGCUAAUACCGGAUAGGAGCUCCUGCUGCAUGGUGGGGGUUGGAGAGAUUUGGGGGGUGGGGAUGGACUCGCGGCUCAUCAGCUUGUUUGUGGGGUAGUGGCUUACCAAGGCUUUGACGGGUAGCCGGGCUGGGAGGGUGACCGGCCACAAUGGGGCUGGGAUACGGCCCAGACGCCUACGGGAGGCAACAGGGGGGAAUAUUGGACAAAGGGUGGGAGCCUGAAGCAGGAACGCCGGGGGCGGGAAGACGGCCUUCGGGUUGGAAAACGCUUUCGGUCAUGACGGAGCUGUGUGUGACGGUAGUGGGUAAAGAAGCACCGGCUAACUACGUG
rnacentral:rRNA from 1 species